UGAGUAAGCCAGACGGUCGCGUGUAUAGUGCUGAAAAGCCGUACAUGAGGAAAGUCCGGGCUCCAUAGGGCAGGGUGCCGGGUAACUCCCGGUGAAGGUGACUUCAAGGAAAGUGCAACAGAGAUAUACCGCCAUUCGUAAGAGUGGCAAGGGUGGAAAGGUGAGGUAAGAGCUCACCAGCGGCAUGGCGACUUGCCGGCUAUGUAAACCCCAUCUGGAGCAACACCGCAGAGGGACAUAUUGGUUGCCCGCCAGUCCCGGGUAGGUGGCUUGAACCAUUCAGAAAUGCAUGGUCUAGAUAGAUGAUCGUCAAAUACAGAACCCGGCUUACAGACUUACUCGAUAC
rnacentral:RNase_P_RNA from 1 species